GCCUAUAGCUCAAUUGGUAGAGCGCCGGACUCUUAAUCCGUCGGUUCCAGGUUCGAGUCCUGGUGGGC
rnacentral:tRNA from 1 species